CUGUUUUUCAAAAACAUGUCCUUUUGAUAAUGAUUUAAGGUCUAACCUGCUCAAUGAUUAAUUAAAUAGCUGCAGUAUUUUGACUGUACAAAGGUAGCAUAAUCAUUAGUUUUUUAAUUGGAAGCUUGUAUGAAUGGUUGGAUAAGAAAAAAACUGUCUGUUUAAAAUUUUAUAUGAAUUUUAUUUUUAAGUUAAAAAGCUUAAAUUUAGUUAAAAGACGAGAAGACCCUAUAGAGCUUAAUUAAAUUUAAUUUUUUUUUAUUUAAGAGUUUUAAUUAGGAAAAUUUAAAUUUAAUUUGGUUGGGGUGAUUUUAAAAUUUAUAUAAUUUUUAAGUUUUUUUUUCAUUGAUUGAUGUUAAAUUGAUCCAUUUUUUAUGAUUAAUAGAUUAAGUUACCUUAGGGAUAACAGCGUAAUUUUUUUGGAGAGUUCUUAUUGAUAAAAAAGAUUGCGACCUCGAUGUUGGAUUAAAAUUAACUAUUGGCGCAGAAGUUAAUGGGUUAGGUCUGUUCGACCUUUAAAAUUUUACAUGAUCUGAGUUUAAAUCGGUGUGAGCCAGAUUGGUUUCUAUCUUUAAUAGGUUAAUAUGUUUUAGUACGAAAGGAUUAAAUAUUAAUAAAAAUUAUUUUUUAAGAUAAAUUUUAAAAUUGUUAUUUUGGCAGAUUAGUGCUUUAAAUUUAGAAUUUAAUUAUGUAUUUUAUACAGAUAAUAUUUGACAUGGAAAGAUAUAAUUUUAUUAAUAAUAAGAAGUUUAAUUUUAGUUGUAUGUGUUUUAGUUGGGGUAGCUUUUUUAACGUUAUUAGAACGUAAAGUUUUAGGAUAUAUUCAAAUUCGU
rnacentral:rRNA from 1 species